GUGUGGGUGGGACGUUAAGCUGAGUGAUGAUGAUGAUGAUGAUGAUGGUGGUGGUGAUGGUGAUGGUGGAUGCGGUGGUCAGCAAAACAACACCGCAGGUGUGGAAAUUGCCUGCCAGUGCCCAUAGACUAAUUGAAAGACAGGUGUAUCCGUUUACCUGUCGGGGGAAGACUUACGGCUACUAUGCUGACCCUGCUAGUGGUUGUCAGGUCUUCCACAUCUGCUACCCAUACCUGUCAACGGAUGGGUCCUCGAGACAGGUGUUCAAGUGGUCCUUUACCUGCCCGCCACACACCGUCUUCGAUAAGAAGACUCUCACCUGUGCAGUACCUGGGGGGAAUGUGCCCUGCGGCGAUGACACGAACGACUUCUACUUCGACAGUGAUUCCCCUACCUUGAGACGGGACGAGAUAUAGGUCGGAGUUCUCAGACGCUUCCUCGUCUCACAUUAACUUCCUAAGGCCUAAGAGGAGAUUAAUCGCGUUCUCGUUAGUUUGUUUGUUUUUUACGUUUAUGGCACAGCUUUGUAAAACUACCAAUACUCAUAAAUCUACUGGAAAUACCCACAACUACGAAAGUCAUGUCAAAGGUGUGUGGUUGGGCGCCGGAAUGGUUAAAAAAUAUGACCCAUAGCCUCGCAUUCUCAGAUAUUUUCGGUUCUCACAACGUUCUAUAGAUCUUGCUCGCAACAACGAUUUAUAAAGGCUACAACGGAGAUUAGUCGAGUUCUCAUGAGUGUUUUCUUGUUCAUUUCACACGAACCUUGUUGAACUAUCCUUGGGUACAGUCCCAGAACUGAAUCACGAGUACUCAAUUUCCUCCCUUUUAUUUAUUUUCUUUCCUCUCUUUCUUUUUUAUUCUUUUCUUUCUCUUCCCAGAACCCAGAGAAUAAAAAGCAAAAUAUAGACUACCCUUCCCUUUAAAAAUACAAACAAUAAAAUACGAGAGAAAAUGGACUUUGUACAUAACACUACCCACGGAAGUACUAACUCACCUCCACGAGAGCCUCAUCAAAUAGGAAUACGGUGAAGUGGUUUGAUUUAGCGUAAAUUAGUUUAUUACAAAUGUGUUUUGAGGAUGAGGCUCCACAAACAUGAAAAGAAAAAAAAUCACGUUUCCAUGACCUGUGCUGGAAAGUCAGGCUGCCUAUUAGUAAACCAAGUCUUGCCAAUACAACUGAAUCUGCAAAAUUUCACUCCACGACACGAUUUUGAACUCCAAAACAGAGGCACAAGACCUCUGAUUAUUUUUUCAACCCGGUGGCAGGGGAUGGAGGCGCCUGGUCUAACCUCCACUUGAACCUGUCAGUUGAAUUUGCAUUAGAAAAUAUGAAUACACACCUACACGUCCGGUCCAGCCAUCCGAUAGCCUAAUAGUUAAGCAGCUGUAGCGCAUACUCCCAAUUCUACAUUUACAUUCUCUUUACCUGUAGGCUACACUUGAAUCUGCAAUUAUCCUAACGACACUAUUUCACACAUGCAAAUUAUGAAAAGCAAAUUAUUAUAGUAAACCGUCUUGCCUAUACCCUUGAGCUUGCAAUUUUCCCUCCACGACCCGAUUUCCGAACUCUAGGGUAGGCUAUUUGCACACUUGACUUCCCCCUCUAUAUGCCCCUUGUAAACCAGUCCCAAACGAGACAAAGAAACUCUGCUGAAUCCUUAUUAUACAACGCUUGGCAGGUGAAGGAGGCGCCACAGACGGUGCUCGGGGGCGGGGCGGCGGAGGGCGAGGCUACUCUCAUUUGUUGGGGCCGGACGCGCUGAGGCUACGGCCAGUCCUGACUGACCGUCGGAUCCCCCGCAGAGAAAGUUGACCUCGGCCUCCCCGCCCCGAGGACACGCCAUAGCGAUGCUACGGGCAGUCCUCGGAAGAAACAGAAUACAGGAGGAGGGACGCACCGGGAGGGGCCCCGAAACGCGUCCCGCCUGCUCAGAGUCCGGGCCGCAUCUGAAGGACUGAAGGUGGAGGGAAGAAAAAUGUAAAACGUAAUCAAAGUUAAAGCGUCGACCUGGUUCACGGGAUUCAUUACGAACCCUUUAUUAUUCUCUUGAAGUAUUCAUUUAUAUUUAGGCGAGUAGUGUCAGAGGUGUGGCUGUUAGAUGAGUGGCCCAUGCAGAUGAAAUUAAGAGUUAGCUUAUGCGAAUAUAACUGAAAGGCUUAUAUGGAAAUUUCAUAGAUGGAAAAGAAACAUAGUGAGUAAAGUUUGUUUUAAGGAUGAGUUAGCAAAAUAGGAAAAUAAUAAAGGGCUCGUAAUGAAUCCCGUGAACCAGGUCGACGCUUUAACUUUGAUUACGUUUUACAUUUUUCUUCCCUUCACCUUCAGAUGCGGCCCGGACUCUGAGCAGGCGGGACGCGUUUCGGAGCCCGUCCCGGGGCGUCCCUCCUCCUCCUGUAUUCUGUUUCUUCCGAGGACUGCCCGUAGCAUCGCUAUGGCGUGUCCUCGGGGCGGGGAGGCCGAGGUCAACUUUCUCUGCGGGGGAUCCGACGGUCAGUCAGGACUGGCCGUAGCCUCAGAGCGUCCGGCCCCAACAAAUGAGAGUAGCCUCGCCCUCCGCCGCCGAGCACCGUCUGUGGCGCCUCCUUCACCUGCCAAGCGCUAUAAUAAAGGGACUCAGAAAUCUCGUGCAUUGUUUGUAGUCUGGAAAUCGUGUCGUUAGGGAUGAUUGCAGGUCCAGGUUUUUAGGCACGGUAAAUGGUUGGGAACAUACCCUUGAGCUGGUUUAAUAAUAGGCUAUCGGAGGAAUGGACCAGACGGGUAGCUGUUUUUAUUUUUCACAGUGCAAAUACAACUGGCAGGUUCAAAAGGAGUUAGACCAGGCGGCUCCUUCCUCUGCCAAUGGGGUGGAAAAAAGGAUUCAGAGUUCUCUUGUCUCAGUUUGGGGCUCGGAAAUCGUGUCGUGGAGAGAAAAUUUGCAGGUUGAAGAGUGUAGGGAAGACUUGGUGUAGCCUACAAAUAGACUACCGGACGUUUCCAGCACAAUAUAUCUAAUACCAAUUAAAUUUUCAAGUGAAAUUUCUCUUUUUCCAUCUUUUUGAUAACUCAUCCUCAACAAUUAUAAUAGGCUAAUUUACGUUAAGGGAGCGUCGGCCAUGUUCAUUCUUGGUGGGGACACCGUUUUUGUAGAUUUUCUGUGGUGAAUGUCUAAAGCUGUACUUUCUCAUGGUGUAGAAUUCCUCCACAAAAUAUUUAAUUCCCAACCAUUUUAAAGAGGUAUCAGGAUUCACGAUUUGUAAUUUCCUUAAAUUUUUGUGUUUUCUAGUGGGUGAUACUCCAUUCAGAGGCUACGUGAAUAGUGAAAAAUAUGGAGUUAAUUAAAUGGAAGUGAUGAAGGGUGGGGAGACGAUGGAAGGUAUGAUACAUAAUUAUGAUUGUUUUAGUCUUGUUUCAUAUAAAACACUAAUAGAGCAGUUAAAAGUUUUAUACGCGGAUACAGAGUGCAAAGUACCAGCCUCUGCCUUUAUUAAUAAAUGUCUAGCUAACCUGUUC